CCUACGGGAGGCAGCAGUGAGGAAUAUUGGACAAUGGGCGCAAGCCUGAUCCAGCCAUGCCGCGUGCAGGAAGACGGUCCUAUGGAUUGUAAACUGCUUUUGUACAGGAAGAAACACUCCCUCGUGAGGGAGCUUGACGGUACUGUAAGAAUAAGGAUCGGCUAACUCCGUGCCAGCAGCCGCGGUAAUACGGAGGAUCCAAGCGUUAUCCGGAAUCAUUGGGUUUAAAGGGUCCGUAGGCGGUUUAAUAAGUCAGUGGUGAAAUCUGGUCGCUCAACGAUCAAACGGCCAUUGAUACUGUUAGACUUGAAUUAUUAGGAAGUAACUAGAAUAUGUAGUGUAGCGGUGAAAUGCUUAGAUAUUACAUGGAAUACCAAUUGCGAAGGCAGGUUACUACUAAUGGAUUGACGCUGAUGGACGAAAGCGUGGGGAGCGAACAGGAUUAGAUACCCUGGUAGUCCACGCCGUAAACGAUGGAUACUAGCUGUUCGGAGCAAUCUGAGUGGNGUAGAGAAGAGAGUAAGUAAGUACCACCGUACGGGAGGUACGGUUCGUCGAGAAGUUAGUAAAGUUAAAGUUAAGUAAGUUAGUUACGGCGUGAGACGUUAGCCGACGGACGACGACGAGGGAGGAGGAG
rnacentral:rRNA from 1 species